CCUACGGGUGGCAGCAGUGAGGAAUAUUGGUCAAUGGACGAGAGUCUGAACCAGCCAAGUAGCGUGAAGGAUGACUGCCCUCUGGGUUGUAAACUUCUUUUAUAUGGGAAUAAAAUGUUCCACGUGUGGGAUUUUGUAUGUACCAUAUGAAUAAGGAUCGGCUAACUCCGUGCCAGCAGCCGCGGUAAUACGGAGGAUCCGAGCGUUAUGCGGAUUUAUUGGGUUUAAAGGGAGCGUAGGUGGAUUGUUAAGUCAGUUGUGAAAGUUUGCGGCUCAACCGUAAAACUGCAGUUGAAACUGGCAGUCUUGAGUACAGGAGAGGUAGGCGGAAUUCGUGGUGUAGCGGUGAAAUGCUUAGAUAUCACGAAGAACUCCGAUGGCGAAGGCAGUUCACUGGACUGCAACUGACGCUGAGGCUCGAAAGUGUGGGGAUCAAACAGGAUUAGAUACCCGAGUAGUC
rnacentral:rRNA from 1 species